rnacentral:rRNA from 1 species
AUUGAACGCUGGCGGCAGGCCUAACACAUGCAAGUCGAACGAUUGGCGGACUGGUGAGUCAUGUCUGGGAAACUGCCCGAUGGAGGGGGAUAACUACUGGAACCGGUAGCUAAUACCGCAUACCAUCGGAUGUGCCCAGAUGGGAUUAGCUAGUAGGUGGGGUAACGGCUCACCUACGCGACGAUCCCUAGCUGGUCUGAGAGGAUGACCAGCCACCCGGGAACUGAGCCCCGGUCCAGACUCCUACGGGAGGCAGCAGUGGGGAAUAUUGGACAAUGGGCGCAAGCCUGAUGCAGCCAUGCCGAGUGUAUGAAGAAGGCCUUCGGGUUGUAAAGUACUUUCAGCGAGGAGGCGUUACUCGCAGAAGAAGCACCGGCUAACUCCGUGCCAGCAGCCGCGGUAAUAC